CCCUUGCCGAUAAUUAAUUGUCAGCACACUGCAGUCCAUUAAAGAUGUGUGAGACUUUGAGACACAGCUUGGAUCUCAUAUUAGCACUGGAGAGGCUUUAUCUUACAAGGCAAAGAGAGCAAGUGCUGGGUUUACAGGCAAGCAUUUGCCUGGAACUGGGCGGAGAGCAUACAAGUCUAUCUGUCAGCUAUCUACAAACCUAAUGUGCAUCAUCCUUUGAAUAUAGCAUUACAGAACAUUUCCAGGGGAGGGAGGCUGUUUUGCCUGCUAGUCCCAUCCAGGAUCCAGGAAUCAGAACUGGAAUCAACCAUCACAUCUCUCCAGAUCUGCUCUGUCAAGAUUAUUGUUCUGCAUCACUUCUGAGGCAGAUCAGCAGCUAGUUCUCUGUGAUCAAGCAGAGAAAUCAAGAUGAUAUACAGUAAAGACUUUGCUUGUGGAGUAUAGAUUUGGAUUAAAUCCUUACCUCUUCAUUUCUCAGACAUUCUGGGAAUGUGUUAGGUCUUUAGAGAUUUUUGUCCUACAAAAUAACACAUGAGCACCUGCUCACAGUUUAGCAGUUUACACAGUUUGAUUCCUCUGUGAAAGCACUUCAUCUGGACUUCAAUUAUUAGACUGCAUUUUAAUACCAAAAUAUUCACAUUUCUCCCAUUUUACGUUCUGAAGCAAAUAUUACCAGCGAUGACUUUCUCAUUUUUCAUUUCAGUGGCUAAAUUUGAGUUGAAU
rnacentral:lncRNA from 1 species